rnacentral:rRNA from 1 species
UACGGAGGAUCCAAGCGUUAUCCGGAUUUAUUGGGGUUUAAAGGGUGCGUAGGCGGCUUAUUAAGUCAGGGGUGAAAGACGGUGGCUCAACCAUCGCAGUGCCUUUGAUACUGAUGAGCUUGAAUAUACUAGAGGUAGGCGGAAUGUGACAAGUAGCGGUGAAAUGCAUAGAUAUGUCACAGAACACCGAUUGCGAAGGCAGCUUACGUAUGGUAUUAUUGACGCUGAGGCACGAAAGCGUAGGGAUCAAACAGG